UAUGUAGGGGGCAAGCGUUGUCCGGAAUCAUUGGGCGUAAAGCGCGCGUAGGCGGCCCGGUAAGUCCGCUGUGAAAGUCCAGGGCUCAACCCUGGAAAGCCGGUGGAUACUGCCGGGCUAGAGUCCGGAAGAGGCGAGUGGAAUUCCUGGUGUAGCGGUGAAAUGCGCAGAUAUCAGGAGGAACACCGGUGGCGAAGGCGGCAUCCUGGACCGGUAUUGACGCUGAGGCGCGAAAGCUAGGGGAGCAAACGGG
rnacentral:rRNA from 1 species